rnacentral:rRNA from 1 species
CAGUCGCCGCGGGAAUACGGAGGAUCCGAGCGUUAUCCGGAUUUAUUGGGUUUAAAGGGUGCGUAGGCGGCCUGUUAAGUCAGGGGUGAAAGACGGUGGCUCAACCAUCGCAGUGCCCUUGAUACUGAUGGGCUUGAAUGUACUAGAGGUAGGCGGAAUGAGACAAGUAGCGGUGAAAUGCAUAGAUAUGUCUCAGAACACCGAUUGCGAAGGCAGCUUACUAUGGUACUAUUGACGCUGAGGCACGAAAGCGUGGGGAUCGAACAGGAUUAGAUACCCCAGUAGUCCCUGUCUCUUAUAC